UAUUUCUGAGCUAAUCUUUCAAAGGUUUCUUUCUACGAAAUGAAGACGUAAAUAAAACAGGAAGGAAAUAUCACCAAGCAGGAAAAGGGGGAGGAAAGCAUUUGGUGUUGGGUUCUGUAAUCACCAGAGUGCUCCUGCCCGUGGCUAAUGCUGGAACCAGCAGAAGGGGCUCUGAAGAAAACACAGCAUGGAAACCGGAAAGAAGAUGAUCAGAUUACCAGCCCCUGGAUUUGUGAGCCGGUCUCAAUCGGACCAGAGCAGGCUUGAUUUCAGACCCGCAGAGUCUCAGACGCCAACCUCACCCCCUUCCUUCCCGCACACCACUAUUUUUAAAGAACCCCCAACCUCUUUCCAAUCAUGAUAGUGUUGCUUUCUUUUCUUUUUCUAUUUUUUUUUUUUCCUUAUCUAUCCAGCGAAAAUCUUCUAAUGAAAGAGAGUACCACUUCAGGAACUUCAGGGUUGGGAAAAUCAGACGGAUUCGUGGAUUUCAAGUUAGAAAUGCCUCCUAGAAUAUUUAAAAUCAAAACAGAUAGAGAAGUGGAAACUUAAGUUCUUUGCCCCUUGAAGAAAUGUACGUGUCUCUUGCAGAUAUUCUUGGGGGCAGGCAAUAGUGGGGUUCUCUUUCACAGCAUCCUCAUCACUUUCGUGAUUCUGAAUCGCCACUGUCACCCUUUGAAAGAAGAAGAGACCCAGUUCCGUGCUCAGCAGGCCUGCUUCUCAGAGCUGCCCCCUUUGGAUUUUGAGGGAGAAGGGUUUAUGUUGUUUAUUGGGGUGGUAAAAAAAAAUGCCUGAUGCCUGUGUUUCCUUGUGCUUAGCACAACCAGGGCAGCAUUCAUCUUCAAUAAUGUAAGUGUAUGUGCAUUACCUUUGAAGACCUAGGGUAGUAUAAGGAAUGGUUGGGAGUGGCCCGUCGGGACUAAUCUCCUCUACCUGCAGUGUCCCAGGACCCACGUUUGGCUUCAUGGAGAACCUGGACCACACAUCUCCAACCUGCCAUGUUCUUCCUCCAGGUUCUGUCACUGAGUCAUAAACUCAGGGAAGGUGCUAGAGACAUCAAGAUGGGGAAUGUCUAUUCCCUGUCCAUCUGGAUUUUACAAUAAGCAGCAAGAUAGAUUCAUCCAAAAGAGCUUAGUUUUUUAAAAGAUAUUGAGCAAAGAUGAGCAUGUACAAAAACAUGAAAAACCAUGCUCCGAGGAAAGACUCAUGCGUUCAUUGAACAAGUAAGAUAAUUGAGCUGUAGAAAGAAAUAUGGUGAAAUACCCUUGCAAAGAAAUUUUGAAAAAUGUCAUGUUGCCUUUUAUGUUAUCUUGACAUAGAACCAAAACCACAACAAAAUUGCCAGAUUUGCAGGAAAAGUCAUUAUGGCUAGGGGAAGAAAAAAAGAACAUACAAGACAAAAGCAAUGUUGGUAAAUGACAGGAAGCAUGCCAAGUUCUUCAGUCACAUAUAAAC
rnacentral:lncRNA from 1 species